AUGUUGAUCCAUGUCAAACUCCAAGGAAAUAGCGCGAGCGUGCCUGUUAUGUACAUUUGUACAUGCAUGGUGCCGAAGCCGUCGCUGGCCGCCGAGCUCUCACGUGUCGCUGAAGCCGCCGGUGCGCUCCUCCAGCUCCUCAUAUGUGAAUUGGUGUGUCUGCAGCCUGUGGACUCUGCCGGACUCCAGGUCGCUGCCACUCUGGAGCUGGGUGUCCCGCCUGAGUUACUGUACUUGAGGAGCCUGGACGAGGAAGUCACUUGUACUGCCUCCUCUUGCGUAUGUACUGGAAUGGCACAACGACGAGAAGCACAAACAGAACCAAAGCAACUACAGAGCUUUCAGAAGUGGCAAACGGCGAUGAAAUAG
rnacentral:rRNA from 1 species